AUUGAACGCUGGUGGAAUGCUUUUCACAUGCAAGUCGAACGGCAGCACGGACUUCGGUCUGGUGGCGAGUGGCGAACGGGUGAGUAACAUAUCGGAACGUAUCCAAUAAUGGGGGAUAACUAAUCGAAAGGUUGGCUAAUACCGCAUACGCCCUACGGGGGAAAGCAGGGGAUCUUCGGACCUUGCGUUAAUGGAGCGGCUGAUAUCUGAUUAGCUAGUUGGUGAGGUAAAGGCUCACCAAGGCGACGAUCAGUAGCUGGUCUGAGAGGACGACCUGCCACACUGGAACUGAGACACGGUCCAGACUCCUACGGGAGGCAGCAGUGGGGAAUUUUGGACAAUGGGCGCAAGCCUGAUCCAGCCAUUCCGCGUGAGUGAAGAAGGCCUUCGGGUUGUAAAGCUCUUUCGCAAGGGAAGAAAACUUACUUUCUAAUAAAGAGUGAGGUUGACGGUACCUUGAUAAGAAGCACCGGCUAACUACGUGCCAGCCGCCGCCGUAA
rnacentral:rRNA from 1 species